ACGGAGCGAGGAUUGAUAGGAAGAGGAAUAAGAAGAGGAUAAUGGCGGAAACAGCAAAAAUUGCCGGGAACAGAAACCGCACACGGCUGUGAUGAUGCUGGUGGCGCCGCCGUGGAAUAGCCAUACGGCGGCGAUGAUUGGUGGUCGGAAGCGUGUUUGCUGAUUUUUGACGACUCCUCCGGUGGUGUCGCGGAGGACAGGGUUUAGG
rnacentral:misc_RNA from 1 species